rnacentral:rRNA from 1 species
GAUGAACGCUGGCGGCGUGCCUAAUACAUGCAAGUCGAGCGAACAGAUGAGGAGCUUGCUCCUCUGACGUUAGCGGCGGACGGGUGAGUAACACGUGGAUAACCUACCUAUAAGACUGGGAUAACUUCGGGAAACCGGAGCUAAUACCGGAUAAUAUAUUGAACCGCAUGGUUCAAUAGUGAAAGACGGUUUUGCUGUCACUUAUAGAUGGAUCCGCGCCGCAUUAGCUAGUUGGUAAGGUAACGGCUUACCAAGGCAACGAUGCGUAGCCGACCUGAGAGGGUGAUCGGCCACACUGGAACUGAGACACGGCCCAGACUCCUACGGGAGGCAGCAGUAGGGAAUCUUCCGCAAUGGGCGAAAGCCUGACGGAGCAACGCCGCGUGAGUGAUGAAGGUCUUCGGAUCGUAAAACUCUGUUAGUAGGGAAGAACAAAUGUGUAAGUAACUAUGCACGUCUUGACGGUACCUAAUCAGAAAGCCACGGCUAACUACGUG